UUUUUUUUUUGUUUUUUUUUUGUUUUUUUUUGCCAUUUCUUUGGGCCGCUCCUGCGGCAUAUGGAGGUUCCCAGGCUAGGGGCUGAAUCGGAGCUGUAGCCGCUGGCCUACGCCAGAGCCACAGCAACGCAGUUUUGUUUUUUUUUUGUUUUUUUUUUGUUUUUUUUUGCCAUUUCUUUGGGCCGCUCCUGCGGCAUAGGGAGGUUCCCAGGCUAGGGGACAGCCCCUAUGUUGAGCAGGUACUCAGCUGCAGGGCGGUGCCAGCUCCUUCUAAUAAGCACUUGUACAAUUUCUGGAGGUGGGACCAGCAAGACAGGCUGUGAAGUGCUCCUCCCCUGCCUCUCGGGCCAGCGGGCUCUCCCUGGGUUUGUCCUGCAUCUUCUGUUCAUCCCGUUCGUCUUCUUCCAUCCAGCAGGACUCCAUGAGUGAGAAGGUUCUCCAGCUUUCCCGACCAGGCAUCACAACCCCUCCUUCUUCAUUCUUUCCGCAGUGACUCACUCGGGGAGGCUUUUGCAAUCAAAUAAAUAAAGGCAUUUCCCACCAGCUUUAAGCCCAACAACUUCGCCCCUCAAUGUCCACCGCUCAUGUCUCACAUCCCACAAGCAGAAAAAUCCAUGUGAGAUUAUUGCUCGUGAGGAGGCUUGGGUUGCCCAUGCGUGAUCGUUUUCUGGCUUUUCUCCCUUGGCCUCUCUUUUCUCCCUUGGCCUCUCCCAGCCAGGAGGGCAAGAGCGGAUCAGAGGCUCCAGGUGUGCGGGGGGGCCCCCAGGUUCCAACGGGAAGGACAGACAGGACUUGAGCCUUGUCACUGUUUUGGAUCCUGAAACCUGUCGUCUGACCCUGGGGCUCUGCAUGGUUAGGUUUCCUGCUAGGCUCCUCCAACCUGGCCCCCGGCUAACUCUUCGAUGUGCCAACAAAGUUCUCUGUUUCCAUUCUCCUCUCUACCCACAGACGGGAAAUAAAUUACCUAAUGAUUAGUUAACAACCCAUGACUCUGUCUCAUUUUGCAAUGAAGUAGGACAAGUAGGAAAAGGCAUUCUGAGCCCAGUCCCUUGAAGCCUUGAACACGAGGAGGAAAAGUCCAGUGAUUCAAAGGAAGUGAGAGCCAGGCCUUUCUCUGGGGCCCGGGGAGAAGCUGGGUGGGGCCAGACUGAGCUGGGAAGGCCUGGCCUCUUCCUACCCACUCAGGAAAUUUUGGCAGCUGAAGGGCUACUGGCCUGGGCAGCGUUGAGUGUCUGUGAAAAAGCCCGAGGGCCCUCUAGCCUGGGCCAUCCCCACCCCCACCCC
ensembl:lncRNA